ensembl:misc_RNA Metazoa_SRP Metazoan signal recognition particle RNA
GCCAGGUGUGGUGAUGCACGCCUGUAGUCCCAGCUACUUGGGAAGCUAAGGUGGGAGGAUUGCUUGGGCCCAGGAGGUUGAGGCUGCAGUGAGCUGUGAUUGCACCACUGCAGUUCAGCCUGGGCAACAGAGCAAGACCCUGUCUCAA